rnacentral:rRNA from 1 species
GACGAAGGAUGCAAGCGUUAUCCGGAUUCAUUGGGUUUAAAGGGCGCGUAGGUGGCUUUGUAAGUCAGUGGUGAAAUCUGGCAGCUUAACUGUUAAAUUGCCAUUGAUACUGCAGAGCUUGAGUACAGAUGCCGUUGGCGGAAUAUGACAUGUAGUGGUGAAAUACAUAGAGAUGUCAUAGAACACCGAUUGCGAAGGCAGCUGACGAAACUGUAACUGACACUGAGGCUCGAAAGUGUGGGGAUCAAACAGG